rnacentral:rRNA from 1 species
CAGUUCGGAUCGGAGUCUGCAACCCGACUCCGUGAAGCUGGAUUCGCUAGUAAUCGCGCAUCAGCCAUGGCGCGGUGAAUACGUUCCCGGGCCUUGUACACACCGCCCGUCAAGCCAUGGGAGCCGGGGGUGCUUGAAGUGCGUCGCCGCAAGGCGCGCCCUAGAGCAAAAACCGGUGACUGGGGCUAAGUCGUAACAAGGUAAC